rnacentral:rRNA from 1 species
GACGAACGCUGGCGGCGUGCCUAAUACAUGCAAGUCGAACGCAGUGGGGACUGGUGCGUUACACGUGGGUAACCUCCCCUCAGAGGGGGUAACACUUGGAAACAGGUGCUAAACCUAUACUGAUGGAUGGACCCGCGGUGCCUUAGCUAGUUGGUGAGGGACCGGCUCACCAAGGCCACGAUGCAUAGCCGACCUGUGAGGGGGAUCGGCCACACGGGGACGGAGACACGGCACAGACUCCUACGAGAGGCAGCAGUAGGGAAUCGUCGGCAAGGGACGAAAGGCUGACCGAGCAACGCCGCGGGAGUGAAGAAGGUUUUCGGAGCGUAAAACUCGGUGGUUAGAGAAGCGGUAUCUAACCAGAAAGCCAAGGCUAACUACGUGCCAGCCGCCGCGGUAAUAC